CUCCGGUUGAUCCUGCCGGACCCGACUGCUAUCAGAGUGGGACUGAGCCAUGCGAGUCAACAUAGCAAUAUGUGGCAUACGGCUCAGUAACACGUAGUCAACAUGCCCAGGGGACGCGGAUAACCUCGGGAAACUGAGGAUAAACCGCGAUAAGUCACUACUUCUGGAAUGGGUAAUGACUCAAAUCUAUAUGGCCCCUGGAUUGGACUGCGGCCGAUCAGGCUGUUGGUGAGGUAAUGGCCCACCAAACCUGUAACCGGUACGGGCUCUGAGAGGAGGAGCCCGGAGAUGGGCACUGAGACAAGGGCCCAGGCCCUAUGGGGCGCAGCAGGCGCGAAACCUCUGCAAUAGGCGAAAGCUUGACAGGGUUACUCUGAGUGAUUUCCGUUAAGGAGAUCUUUUGGCACCUCUAAAAAUGGUGCAGAAUAAGGGGUGGGCAAGUCUGGUGUCAGCCGCCGCGGUAAUACCAGCACCCCGAGUGGUCGGGACGUUUAUUGGGCCUAAAGCAUCCGUAGCCGGUUCUACAAGUCUUCCGUUAAAUCCACCUGCUUAACAGAUGGGCUGCGGAAGAUACUAUAGAGCUAGGAGGCGGGAGAGGCAAGCGGUACUCGAUGGGUAGGGGUAAAAUCCGUUGAUCCAUUGAAGACCACCAGUGGCGAAGGCGGCUUGCCAGAACGCGCUCGACGGUGAGGGAUGAAAGCUGGGGGAGCAAACCGGAUUAGAUACCCGGGUAGUCCCAGCUGUAAACGAUGCAGACUCGGUGAUGAGUUGGCUUAUUGCUAACUCAGUGCCGCAGGGAAGCCGUUAAGUUUGCCGCCUGGGGAGUACGGUCGCAAGACUGAAACUUAAAGGAUUGGCGGGGGAGCA
rnacentral:rRNA from 1 species